rnacentral:rRNA from 1 species
GAUGAACGCUGGCGGCGUGCCUAAUACAUGCAAGUCGAGCGAACAGACGAGGAGCUUGCUCCUCUGACGUUAGCGGCGGACGGGUGAGUAACACGUGGAUAACCUACCUAUAAUACUGGGAUAACUUCGGGAAACCGGAGCUAAUACCGGAUAAUAUAUUGAACCGCAUGGUUCAAUAGUGAAAGACGGUUUUGCUGUCACUUAUAGAUGGAUCCGCGCCGCAUUAGCUAGUUGGUAAGGUAACGGCUUACCAAGGCAACGAUGCGUAGCCGACCUGAGAGGAUGAUCGGCCACACUGGAACUGAGACACGGUCCAGACUCCUACGGGAGGCAGCAGUAGGGAAUCUUCCGCAAUGGGCGAAAGCCUGACGGAGCAACGCCGCGUGAGUGAUGAAGGUCUUCGGAUCGUAAAACUCUGUUAUUAGGGAAGAACAAAUGUGUAAGUAACUAUGCACGUCUUGACGGUACCUAAUCAGAAAGCCACGGCUAACUACGUG